UGUGAAACCACUGUGGUUACAGCACCAGUGUACUCCUCUCUAUGACACCUCAGAAGUGGCAGCCAAAACAUUUCCCUCUCCAUGACAUCACAGCAGUGUGAGCCCCAAUGUUCCCCUCUCUGUGACUCCACUGCUGUGGCAGCCCUAGUGUACCCAUCUGUGACACCACAGCUUUGAAAGUGCAAGUGUUCCACUCUCUAUGAAACCCCAGCAAUGAGAGCCCAACAUUCCCUUCUCGGUGACACCACCACCUGUAGCAGCCCCAGUAUCUCACUCACUGUGAUGCCAAAUCUGUGGAAAUCCAGCAUUCCCCUACCUAUGACACCAAAUGGGUGGCAACCCCUAUGUCCCCUCUCUGUAACACAACAGCAAUGACAGCCUCAACAUUCCCCAGUCUGUGGCACAGCAGAGGUGGCAGCCACAACAUUCCCCUCUCUGAGACACCAGUUCUCCCUCUGUGUUACACCACAGCGGGGGUAGUCCCAGCCUUCCUCUCUCUGUGACACCAAAGUUGUGGCAGCCCAAACACUCCCCUCCCUAUGACACGACAGGGGUAGCAGCUUCAAUGUCCCUCUCUCUAUGACACCACAGUAGUGGCAGCCCCAGAGGUCCCCCUCUUUGUGACACCCCAGCGGUUGCAGCUACAACAUACCCAUAUCUGAGACACAGCAGCAGUCGCAGCCACAACCUUUCCCUUUCUGUUACACCACAGCAGUUGCAGCCACAACUUUCCCCUCUCUGUGACACCACAGUGGUGGCAGUCCUAAGUCCCCCUGUCUGUGACACCACAACACUGGCAUCUCAAAUGUCCCCUGUCUGUGACACCGUGGCCCAACGCUUCCCAUCUCUGUUACACCACAAUAAUGGUAGCCCCAACACUUCCUGCUCUAUGACACCACAGCAGUCGUAGCCCAAAUGUUCCCUUCUCUGUGACACCAUAGUGGUGGCAACCACAGCAUUUGCCUCUCUGUGACACCACAGUGGUGGUAGUCCCAACAUUCCCUUCUUGGUGACACCAGAUCUGUGGAAAUCCAGCAUUCCCCUGUCUGACACCAAAUGGGUGGCAACCCCUAUGUUCCCCUCUCUGUGACACAACAGCAGUGACAGCCCCAACGUUCCCCAGUCUGUGACACAGCAGAGGUGGCAGUCACAACGUUCCUGUCUAUGAAACCACACAGGUGGCAUCCUCAACAUUCCUGUCUCUAUGACAUCACAGCAGUGCCAGAUCAAAGGCAGGACAAAGGGUGAAAAAUGCCAAGAUGGCUCAGAGCUGCUUCUGACUCUACAUCACCCAUGUGCUUCUCUGCCAUCCCAUCCCCCUUUUCCUGAAGGCAAGCAAGGGAUGAGAACGUCCAAAGUGAUGCAGGCAGCGGUUCAUCAGGACCAUCUGGAGUGGCAAUGCUCACAGCAUCAGUGCCAGAGCUGAGGCUGAACACUAAGAACUCUGCAUCUCAUAAGAGGAGAUCAAAGAACUACUCCCAUCCUAAGAAGAAAAUAAAGAACUGGAAGAGACUGACCUAAAAAACCUUUAUGUUUUUAUGAACUACUACUGCUGCUUAAUUUGCCUGGCUGCUGAGUUUUAGGUGUUUGUUU